rnacentral:rRNA from 1 species
UACGGAGGGAGCUAGCGUUGUUCGGAAUUACUGGGCGUAAAGCGCACGUAGGCGGCUUUGUAAGUUAGAGGUGAAAGCCUGGAGCUCAACUCCAGAACUGCCUUUAAGACUGCAUCGCUUGAAUCCAGGAGAGGUGAGUGGAAUUCCGAGUGUAGAGGUGGAAUUCGUAGAUAUUCGGAAGAACACCAGUGGCGAAGGCGGCUCACUGGACUGGUAUUGACGCUGAGGUGCGAAAGCGUGGGGAGCAAACAGG